rnacentral:rRNA from 1 species
AGUCACUGACUAUUAGACCUACCCGGUACGUCCCAGACCGUAAACUAUGCGCGUUAGGUGUACUGGUGACCACGAGUCGACCGGGUGCCGAAGGGAACCGUGAAACGUGCCGCCUGGGAAGUACGGUCGCAAGGCUGAAACUUAAAGGAAUUGGCGGGGAGCACCACAACGGGUGGAGCCUGCGGUUUAAUUGGACUCAACGCCGAAAAUCUCACCGGAUAGGACAGACAUAUGAUAGUCGGGCUGAAGACUCUACUUGAUGAUCUG